GGCCCUGUGGCUCAGUUGGUAGAGCAUGGUGUUUGCAAAACCCAGGGUUGUGGGUUCGAUUCCCAUCGGGGGCCA